UGUUAAAUUUGGUAAAACAUAAAAGGAUUCGCCGCUAUCUACAGCUAAACGGAGGAAGAGAGCUAUUGUUGCGGUUGUCGUCGCAUUCUUCAUCUGUUGGGCACCAUUUCAUGCACAGCGUCUUCUCGCAAUUUAUGGCAAACACACUUCAGCUCACAUGAUAAAAGCCUUCCAAAUCCUAACCUAUAUCAGCGGGGUAUUUUACUACCUUUCCACGACUGUUAAUCCAGUGUUGUAUCAUAUAAUGUCGAACAAAUUCAGGGAAGCUUUCAAGACCACAUACAAACAGUGCUUCAGGAAAGGACACCGUUUACCCGGAGGUAGGUGUUACUCUACAUUAUCUGCUCGUUCAUCCCAUGUAAACAGUCAUAGCAACACCGAUUCUUACAGCCAAGGCUGCAGCUCGCGUAGAUACCUCGAAGAUCAAAUGGCGCGUCUACCAGACUCUAAACGGCCACUGGUUGUUUCCUUCAGAAGGAAAAAAUUGCAGAGUCCACCACCUAGCACGAAAUCAAGCUUCAAACAAGUUAUAAUCCUGGAUACUGAUCUUCAGGAGGCACUAGAAAAUCUUCAUAGAGGCGUUAGGAGCAGUUGCGCUGAAGAUGUCCCCGUUAUGAGUUCUCUUGCUGAGGAGAGAAUGAAAAUGAGUUGUAGUUUUAUCGAAGUUCAUAGUUUACAGCCUACCCAUAUCUGUCCACUAGGUGAAAAUGCCCAUGUAGCUAAAGAUUCGCUGAAAUAGCAUAAACGCAGAGUUUCAGAACAAAAACUCAAAUUAUUUUAUAAUAGUCGAGUUUCACAAAUAUCAAUUAUCUGCUUGUAAAUGUAUAAUCAUUAUUCUAAUCAUAUUUUUGUGCAAUCAGUUAUUUACC